GCCAUCCGAGGGGGUCCCUGAGCCUCCUCUCUCUUCUUCGCGUCGAUCCGGCGCUGUCGUCUGCGGCCUCUUCUCUCGGAGCGAUGGCGCAGCUGGCACAGCUGUGCUCCAACUGCCAUCACAGAGGCUCGUGGCGUCCCCAACGGCCGCUGCGGUGGCCGGCAUGGCGGCCCCCGGGGCCACGAGGCCCCAUUGCGGGGCCAUUUUGCUCUGCAGCCCUGUCAGUGCUUAGAUUUGGUUUGCCUCUGCUGGAACCGACUCAUCGGCCUUUUGUCUUCAGCAAAGAGCAAGAGCUGCAGAUCUUUGGACAAGGUGUCUUAGCAGCACGACCAACCCGGUCGCUGUAUUGCAGAAUUGUACUAUGCUGAGGGAUUCUGAUCUUUCUUUAGUGCUGUAGUGUGAAGAAUGCAAAACGUGUUUGAAGAGACAGGGCUUUUGUGGCUCCAAGCCACUUCUAUGGAUGGUCAAGCGUUUCCAGAAAUCCUUCUUGCAACAGCCCUCUUGUGAGUCACAGACUUAGCCAAUGCUCACAAUCCUUAACACAAGCCCACGUGUAGCCAGGAGCAGGCUGAUGCAUUCUUCAGUUUAGCUUGAACAAACAGCCCUUGCGGGCUGGCAAAGGCAAGUCCCAGAGCUGCAGAGAGCAGCAGCAGGAAUGGAGGCCAAGCUUUGCCAGGUUCCUGAAGAGGGAGGACCUUGAGAAUGAGGCGCGGGACUGACCAUGCACCAAAGAAGAGGUAUGUGGUACUGUGGGAUCUUUUCCAAAGCAUCACAUGUAGCGAUGGCGAGCAGAUGUUUUGCCUUGCACACCUUGUUUGGCUGCUGUGCUUCUUGGGCAGGGUGCACGAGAAGCGCUCUGGUCCCUGCCAGGCGCUGGUGUUGCCCGCAGGGAGAGGUGCCGAGUGGCAGCUGCGAAUCCUUCCUGUUCCUGACAGGACACCAGUGGCUGCUCCAAAGCACUGGGUCCCCAUGCAACAUCUCUGCGUGCUGCUUCCUACAUCUGCCUUCUUGGUCUGUAACUUGUUUGGGUUUUGCUUGUUUCUUUCUACCUUGUUUGGUGUUCUGUUUUUGUUGUUGAUGUUGUUUCCAUUGUUGUUUUGGUUUUGUUGGGUUUUGCUAAGUUGGUUUCAUUUGGUUGGUUUAGGUCAGCUAAUACGAGUUGGUUUUGGUAGGCUUUUUGAGCCUGGUUGUUUGACACCGUAUGACGUUGUUGGUAGGUUGUGUGUUGGUAGGUCACUGAAGGCCGGUUGUUUUAGGUUAAGGUUUGUUAAGUUUGGUUCAGGUUGGCGGUCUUAGAUUGCUUGUUUCAGGUUUGAUGGUUGAGCUUGGUUUCGGUUGGUUAGUUUAG